GGGUAACGUCAAUUCACUCAGCUAUUAACCAAAUGACCUUCCUCCCCACUGAAAGUGCUUUACAACCCUCAGGCCUUCUUCACACACGCGGCAUUGCUGGAUCAGGGUUGCCCCCAUUGUCCAAUAUUCCCCA
rnacentral:rRNA from 1 species